AUUGAACGCUGGCGGCAGGCUUAACACAUGCAAGUCGAGCGGAGAGAGGUAGCUUGCUACUAAUCUUAGCGGCGGACGGGUGAGUAAUGCUUAGGAAUCUGCCUAUUAGUGGGGGACAACAUUUCGAAAGGAAUGCUAAUACCGCAUACGUCCUACGGGAGAAAGCAGGGGAUCUUCGGACCUUGCGCUAAUAGAUGAGCCUAGGUCGGAUUAGCUAGUUGGUGGGGUAAAGGCCUACCAAGGCGACGAUCUGUAGCGGGUCUGAGAGGAUGAUCCGCCACACAGGGACUGAGACACGGCCUAGACUCCUACGGGAGGCAGCAGUGGGGAAUAUUGGACAAUGGGCGCAAGCCUGAUCCAGCCAUGCCGCGUGUGUGAAGAAGGCCUUAUGGUUGUAAAGCACUUUAAGCGAGGAGGAGGCUACUUUAGUUAAUACCUAGAGAUAGUGGACGUUACUCGCAGAAUAAGCACCGGCUAACUCUGUGCCAGCCGCCGCAGUAAGAC
rnacentral:rRNA from 1 species